GCUGGGCAUGGUGGCACAUGCCUGUAAUCCCAGCUCCUUGGGAGGCUGAGGCAGGAGAAUCGCUUGAACCCUGGAGGUGGAUUGCAGUGAGCCGAGACUACACCACUGCACUCCAGCCUGGGUGACAGAGGGAGAUCCUGUCUCAA
ensembl:misc_RNA Metazoa_SRP Metazoan signal recognition particle RNA